rnacentral:rRNA from 1 species
UACAGGGGGUGCAAUCGUUACUCGGAAUUACUGGGCGUAAAGCGCGUGUAGGUGGUCUCAUAAGUCUGGUGUGAAAUCCCGGGGCUCAGCCCCGGAAGUGCAUUGGAUACUGUGAGGCUAGAGUGCAGGAGAGGAUGGUGGAAUUCCAGGUGUAGAGGUGAAAUUCGUAGAUAUCUGGAGGAACAUCGGAGGCGAAGGCGACCAUCUGGACUGCAACUGACACUGAGACGCGAAAGCGUGGGGAGCAAACAGG